UCGGGAAUAUUGGACAAUGGGGGCAACCCUGAUCCAGCCAUGCCGCGUGUGUGAAGAAGGCCCUAGGGUUGUAAAGCACUUUUAGUAGUGAGGAAGGCUCGGUAGUUAAUACCUGCCGGGAUUGACGUUAGCUACAGAAAAAGCACCGGCUAAUUUCGUGCCAGCAGCCGCGGUAAUACGAAAGGUGCAAGCGUUAAUCGGAAUUACUGGGCGUAAAGCGCGCGUAGGCGGCUUGGUAAGUUGGGUGUGAAAGCCCCGGGCUCAACCUGGGAACUGCAUCCAAAACUGCCUGGCUAGAGUAUGGUAGAGGAUGGCGGAAUUUCCUGUGUAGCGGUGAAAUGCGUAGAUAUAGGAAGGAACAUCAGUGGCGAAGGCGGCCAUCUGGACCAAUACUGACGCUGAGGUGCGAAAGCGUGGGGAGCAAACAGG
rnacentral:rRNA from 1 species